rnacentral:rRNA from 1 species
GACGAACGCUGGCGGCGUGCCUAAUACAUGCAAGUUGAGCGCUGAAGGUUGGUACUUGUACCAACUGGAUGAGCAGCGAACGGGUGAGUAACGCGUGGGGAAUCUGCCUUUGGGCGGGGGACAACAUUUGGAAACGAAUGCUAAUACCGCAUAAAAACUUUAAACACAAGUUUUAAGUUUGAAAGAUGCAAUUGCAUCACUCAAAGAUGAUCCCGCGUUGUAUUAGCUAGUUGGUGAGGUAAAGGCUCACCAAGGCGAUGAUACAUAGCCGACCUGAGAGGGUGAUCGGCCACAUUGGGACUGAGACACGGCCCAAACUCCUACGGGAGGCAGCAGUAGGGAAUCUUCGGCAAUGGACGAAAGUCUGACCGAGCAACGCCGCGUGAGUGAAGAAGGUUUUCGGAUCGUAAAACUCUGUUGGUAGAGAAGAACGUUGGUGAGAGUGGAAAGCUCAUCAAGCGACGGUAACUACCCAGAAAGGGACGGCUAACUACGUG